GACGAACGCUGGCGGCGUGCUUAACACAUGCAAGUCGAACGGAAAGGCCCUGCUUUUGUGGGGUGCUCGAGUGGCGAACGGGUGAGUAACACGUGAGUAACCUGCCCUUGACUAUGGGAUAACUUCAGGGAACUGGGGACAAUACCGGAUAGGAGCUCCUGCUGCAUGGUGGGGGUUGGAAAGUUUCGGCGGUUGGGGAUGGUCUGGCGGCUAAUCAGCUUGUUGGUGGGGUAGUGGCUGACGAAGGGUUUGACGGGUAGCCGGCCUGAGAGGGGGACCGGCCACCAGGGGACUGAGGGAGGGCCCAGACUCCUACGGGAGGCAGCAGGGGGGAAUCUUGCACAAUGGGCGGACGCCUGAUGCAGCAACGCCGGGUUCGGGAUGACGGCCUGCGCGUUGUAAACCGCUUUCGCCUGAGACGAAGCGUGAGUGACGGUACUGUGUAAAGAAGCACCGGCUAACUACGUG
rnacentral:rRNA from 1 species